rnacentral:misc_RNA from 1 species
GAUGAAGAACGCAGCGAAAUGCGAUAAUUAAUGUGAAUUGCAGAAUUUAGUGAAUCAUCGAAUCUUUGAACGCACAUUGCGCCCCUUGGUAUUCCAUGGGGCAUGCCUGUUCGAGCGUCAUUUGUACCUUCAAGCUUUGCUUGGUGUUGGGUGUUUGUCUCGCCUUUGCGUGUAGACUCGCCUUAAAAUAAUUGGCAGCCGGCGUAUUGAUUUCGGAGCGCAGUACAUCUCGCGCUUUGCACUCAUAACGACAGCGUCCAAAAGUACAUUUUACACUCUUGACCUCGGAUCAGGUAGGGAUACCCGCUGAACUUAAGCAUAUCAAUAAGCGGAGGA